ensembl:scaRNA
AUGCACUAGAUACUAACCUGACCGUCUGCUGCCCAGUUGUUUUUAGUACUGGUGCACAUCAGUGGCUGUUGGGCUCAAAAUGGUGCUAUAGAGAUAAGCCCUGAGAUUUAAGCUCCGAGUGCGAAGUUGUUCUCUCGGGUGUUAUGACUCAGGGAUACAUCA